rnacentral:rRNA from 1 species
AGCCUACGGGGGGCAGCAGUGGGGGAUAUUGCACAAUGGAGGGAACUCUGAUGCAGCGACGCCGCGUGAGGGAAGAAGGUUUUCGGAUUGUAAACCUCUGUCUUCAGGGACGAUAAUGACGGUACCUGAGGGGGAAGCCACGGCUAACUACGUGCCAGCAGCCGCGGUAAUACGUAGGUGGCGAGCGUUGUCCGGAUUUACUGGGCGUAAAGGGAGCGUAGGCGGACUUUUAAGUGAGAUGUGAAAUACUCGGGCUCAACUUGAGUGCUGCAUUUCAAACUGGAAGUCUAGAGUGCAGGAGAGGG